UUAUUUAAUCCACGUAACUCUAAUAUUUGUCUUUUAAUGAUUCCUUCGCAUAUGAGACCACGAAUUGAAUAAACACACAAACCCUACAUAAUGGGAGAGAGAGAAACAUUGAGUAGAGAGAGAAAGGGAGAAGAGAUGAACAAAUGGUUGGGGUUUUCUUUGACACCUCAUUUGAGAAUCUCCGAUAGAGUUCAAGAAGAAGACGAAGAAAACUAUGUUGCGACUAAUCAACAAAAGGCUCUCAUGCCUCAUUCGGAUGGUUCUCCCUUUUUCACUGAUCCUCUCACACAUCAUCCUCAUCCU
rnacentral:lncRNA from 1 species